rnacentral:rRNA from 1 species
CGGGUGAGUAAUACAUCGGAACGUGUCUUCUAGUGGGGGAUAACUGCCCGAAAGGGCAGCUAAUACCGCAUGAGACCUGAGGGUGAAAGCGGGGGAUCGCAAGACCUCGCGCUGGAGGAGCGGCCGAUGUCCGAUUAGCUAGUUGGUGAGGUAAAGGCUCACCAAGGCGACGAUCGGUAGCUGGUCUGAGAGGACGACCAGCCACACUGGGACUGAGACACGGCCCAG